rnacentral:misc_RNA from 1 species
AAGUCGUAACAAGGUUUCCGUAGGUGAACCUGCGGAAGGAUCAUUAAUGAUUGUAUGCCUGUCGAGCUUGCUCACAGGAUUUUACUCAUAUCCAUAACACCUGUGCACUUGUCGGAUGGCUUAGUGAAGACCGCAAGGUUGGAACUAUCCAUCUACUUUACAUAACAAUCCUGUAACAAAUGUAGUCUUAUUAUAACAUAAUAAAACUUUCAACAACGGAUCUCUUGGCUCUC